rnacentral:lncRNA from 1 species
AAAAUCCUCAAUACAGAGCCGAGGUAGCCUAGUUCGGAGAAUCACCAAAACAAAUCUAAAGAAUAUCAAAACCUGUGUUUUGAUCCGGUUUUCUUGCAUCGGGUAUUUAACGAUUUCUUCACUACUUAGGGCUUGGAAAACGAUUUCUUCACUACUUAGUCUCAGCAAAGAACUCGACCAAUCCGAAAACAGGAAAGUUGAAAAUUAAAACAAACAGAACCCAUAAAUUCCUCUCAUCUGUAAAAAUUCCUGGUAGGUAUCCUUUACAGAGGAAUUAUCUUUUCUCCAAGGUAAAUAAAAAUCUAAAAAUUCUG